AUGAAGUGGGCUGGGCUGGCAGCUCCAUCCGAGGUAGAGGCUGCUCCAGGCUGGUGCAGAGUGGAGGCUGAGGUGGGUUCUGGUUCAUCCUCCAGCUCCCCCAGGACCAGAGGGAGCCUCCAGCAGGGCCAAGGAGCACGGGAGGGGCUGUCUCCUUCCAAAGGAAACCUUCUCUGACUGCCUGUUCCCCUGCCAGAGGAUUUGGAGCUGUUGGUGCCUGAGAGCCUGAACAGAGCCCAGAUGAGGAUGCUGCAGGCAACACAAACCCCCCAGACUUUGUUUUCCAGACCAUGAACCAAUGCUUUUGGCUGCUGCAGAAGCUCCCCCAUCUCGUCUGAAGCUGCUGUCAAGGCUCUGCCAGUGCCUUGAUGUUCUCCCCCUCAAAGGGAAUUAAUCACUGGGAAGGAAUGAAGAGCACAGCACAAAGAGCAGGCAUGGUCCAGGCCUCCCAGGACUAAUUAUGCUCUUGAAGGGAUGGAAAAAGCAAAGGAACGAUGCACAUGAAGGUCCUGUGAAAUUCUAAUACUAAAACACUCAUGCACAAACUGUGAAGUCUGAAAGCAGAGCUCAAGCCCAGAGCAAACAAAGAGCAGGGGAUGAAUUCCAACGAGGGCAGUGCAGACGCUGCAGCUUGGCAGCUCAGGCUCUGCAAGAGGGCAAACAGAAGGAAAGGACUGAGUUGCUAAUUUUGGAUGGUCACAGGAGCUGCUCUGGAAAUGCCUGCAACAGCAAAUGCAAAUGUAUCAGCACAACACGGAAUUAAUGGUCAAGGAGAAUAUUGUUGCUAAGAAGCUGGAGACACUGAAGAUACUCAAGACUGAUGGAGCAGAACCUCUUGCAUCCAUACCUGUGACAAAGGAAAAGGCUCAGGAUUAAAGGAAAGUGUGAGGAAGCAAAGACAAGCUGAAACAAAGGAAAGUGGUUCAACCUACUGGCUAGUCUGGGGAUGAGGAUCUGCUCGCUGCUGCUGCCAUCUCCCCCCUCAGUGGUUGCUCUGACCUCUAUAAAAUAAUCGUCCUUGAGCUGCAGCCACAGCUCGGCCGUCGUCGUGUCCGUGGUCAGCACGUUCACCCUGCCCUGGCUGCUGGUCCUGUACAGAACCUGCAACACAGGACACCCCUGGCUGUUCUCAGUCCCUUACAAACAAGGCUCCAGCUUUUACAAGUGAUGGGAUGAAAGAAAAGAUCUGAUUUUUGGUUAAUAUGCCAGGGCAGAAUUACGUGUAAAGGAAGAAGGGAACAUCAGUCAAGGCCUUUUAUUCCAGAUUUAAUUUAAAAUGGCACGAUGAAUGACAAUAUGUAUUAUAUAUUAUUUUUAUUACAAUAAUAUGAAAUAAUGGGUGGUGGGACACUGGAACAAGCUGUAAACAUGUAUUUCUUGUCAGUACGACUCAGUGGGUAAUCAGAUCUUCAGCCUGAAUCUUUUAUGCAGGAAUAUAUCAUCUGGGAUCCAGCUGUACAGAGCUUAUCAGGAACAGCCUCAGCUAUUCUUUUACACACACUUCUAUGACAUAUUGAAAUACUUCCCCGUUUGUGUGCUCAUCAGAUUUAGAGCAGAUGCAACAGUGUAAUCUCUGUCAGGGAAAUGAGCAUGGCCCACAGCAGGUUAAGAGGAGAAGGGGUUUAAAAAUAUCAGUUUAAUAUACAUGUGGUAAUAUAUAAUAAAUGUACCUGGCCAGCAAUGGAAGCUACAUCCAGCGGGCUGAAUCUUUUUAGUUUCUUUCCAAGUUUUAUCCAUUUGUGUAAGUGUUACACAUUUAAAAUAAGUGUUACAGAUGUGGUAAGUGUUUAACUGUUUUAAGAUCCAGGUGUGGGUGGGAUCCCAAGAGCUGAGCAAUGCCAGCAUGGGGAGGCAAAGGGAUUAGUGGGUAUUAACGGUGAGACAUGGUUAAGAGCAUGAUUUAAAAUCCCUAAAAAGGAGACCCCAGUGAAAUGGUUCAGGGGUGGUAUUGGGCAUCCUCUGAACGUGCAAACAGACGAGAAAAUAUCAGCUCCAGAUUGCUCGCAGCUCUGUCCCCACUGACCUUGUACCCUGUGACCUCAGACUCGUUGUCCAUCGCUCUGACCUCCUCCCAGCUCAGGAUAACUCUGGAGUCUGUGACAUUCCACACCACGUUUCCUGGAGGUUGGCUGGGUGCUUCAAAUACACAACAAAAAGCACAACUUUAAUUUAAUUGGCAUCAGUGAUUUAAUCACCAGCUCAGGUAAUUGGCUGUCAUUACAUUUCGGAUGCAAAAGCAACUCCAGCGCAGGCUCCUGUCUGCGCACGUUAUGGUUCAGAGGCUAAAUUCCACAAACAGAAGGAAGGAAGGAAGGGAAAAACCAGAAUGGCACAUAAACAUAAAUGCUGUUUCUGAAGUAUCUGUUGAUGGUCCUUCAUUCAGUACAGCCAGACAGAAGCAUGUGCCUCAGGACACGGGUGAUUAAUUAGAACAAACUCUAAUGAUGGUAACAGAGGAUUUCUAGUUUUAGUACAGUGCCAAUAAUAAGAAAAUUCUUCACAAUAGAUUUUUAGACAAAUUUAGUCUCAGUGAAUAUUCACAUUUACCCACUAUGUUUGAUUUACAUUAAGAUGUUAUGUAAAAUAUUGGAAGUUGUUUUUCUGUUGGUUCUUCCAACCCAAGUUGUGGUUCUGAACUGUGCCAUUCAAGGGGGUUUGGCCGAGGAAACCUACUGGGAUUUUUUGUUCAUUAGCAACCCUAGCCUGUCAUUUGCAAAGCCGCUGCAUGCUCUGGGCUCUGCCCCUUCAUGUACCUUGGGGCUGCCAAGCUUUCAGGGAAGCACAAACCUCUUAAAAGACCUCAGGUUGGUUUCCCAGCACAUGGGUCCUGCAGUGACACAAUCAAUGAUUAAAAUCUUUUCUAAGUGUGUUAAGGAAAACAAUUUACUGUUGCUGUCACCUAGUGGAGGCAACUGCUGCUUAGGUGGACUGAGCUGUGCUUUGAUGCUGGAGGUUCCAGGUUUAAGCACUGAGAGUGGUUUUGAACACUUGCAUCCACCAUGUGCUUAUAGGGUUUUUCCUCUUUCCUUCCCUUCUCUUUUAAAUUCUUUCACACAGGAGGUUCCCUGCCUUCUUUUCACAAGCAGACAUAUCAAAACCCCACCCGAUUAUAGUCAAAAAACAGAAGAAAAAGUGUAAGAGUGAGACUUAAAAAAAUUAUUCCCAAGUCAAACAACCACCCACAGCUAUUUUUUUUGCACUAUUUAUCUUGUUCUAUGUACUGAGGAAGAUUUAACCUGGUGUUCUAAUAAUAACCACUUCUUGUAGAUGUAAGAGGAGAUUGUUUCACUCCUGAGAAUGAAGUGUUACAGCAUGUAUGAGUAGUUUUCACACUGAGAUAUUAAAGCUGAAUUUCAAAAGAAAUGAGUCAUCCUUGAAAUCCACAACAAAAUAUUAAGAUGACAUGUGGAAAAAAUGAGGAGCAAUUAUAUAUAAAACUGUAAGCCUCUGUCUGUGGGAUUCAGAAGGCUCCAAUUUGCUGCAGACACCAAAAUCUCCAGCAAUCAUCAGAGUUCAGAACUUCAUUUGUGGCAGGUUCUGAUCCUCAAGUCACAUCAGGACAUGUCCAGGGAGCUGCAGGGAUUUCUGAGCCUCCUCAGGUGCUGAAAGCUGCUCUCAGACUGGAGCAGUUCUCAGAGCUGAUGGACAGAACAUUGGGGUUUAUUUGAAGACUUUCUAAAUAUGAAAUAAUUGUAACAACUUAGGCAAGUCUUCCCCACUCACCUGGCAUUUUACACAGCAAUAUUUAAACCUCCACUUGUUAUUCUGGGCUGUAAACAUGCAUAUUUCAAAUAUAAAAAAAAGAUAUUUUAAUUGUCAAAGGCUCACUUUCAACUUUGAAAUACACUGCCAAUGGAACUGAACUAUUUGUAUUUCUUGAUAUGGCAAGAAUUUCUGAGAUGUAUCUGGGUAGGUCCUGUGGGGGAAUGUAAAUCCUUCACAGUGAAAACCACACCAAUCAUAAAUAUUCAAAUUAAAUUAGAAAUCAGGAUUGAUUAAAAAAUCACACAUUUGAAUGAAAAAUCAGUUCCUACUGCAGUAGCACAGAGAAUUAUUUCUCUUAGCAAUUCAACUAAUUUAUCAAUAUCUUCAGACUGACAUUACCCUGCACUGCAAUGGUUUUGCUCCCUUUACUCAUCAGAAAGACCCAUGGACAUAAUGCAAUUAAUUUUCCUUUUUAAUUAUUCCAAACAGCAGCAACUUGACCAAGGGACUGAUCCAGAUCCUGUUUACACCAGUGGGGUCAGGGCUUGCCCAGUUCUCAGUCAAACACCCCAGAAGUGGGGGGAACACUAAAAAAGGACUGAAAAUCCCUGAGCUGACCAGCCUGGCACCACCUCUAGCGAGCAGCCACAAAGAUGAUUAAUUAGAAAAAAAACCUCUUUUUCCCAUGUCCUGUCCAGGCUGCAGGCAGAGAGCCACUUCAGAUCAGCCAGUUCAUAGUAAUUGUGCAUAUAAUGCAUUUAAACUCUGGGAAAUCUGAGUUGGUUUAGUCCUCAGUGACAGACUGACACUCAUAUUUGCAUAUAAUAAUUUCUGAUAAACUAGCUUAUUUCAUAAUAUUAAUGAUACAACUCCGUCUGCUCGGGGGAUGUUAAUGACUAUUGCAGGGAAUUUGACCUUUCAGCCAGAUUUAAUUGUGUGUUCCUGUGCCUCUGACAGAAACACUUGAAGACCGAUGACCCUGAUUCUGAGUUGUACUACAACAGAGGAGCACACUAAAAAUAUUUCCACUUGUAGAAGAAUUAGUGCAGCCUCUGACAAUCUGUUCUCCAGCUUAAUUUGGCCUUUGCAGCAGCAAAGUGGCCUCUUGAGCAAUUUGUUCAAGGGGGAACAGUGGACAUGAAGGAUUGUUUUGCAUGAACUCCAGGAGGUUCAUUGCAUUUCAAAAGCCAUGCCCUAGAGAACUUAUAAAUAUGUUAUAGAACACUGAAAAAUUCAACAAGUCUCCUUUUUUUCCCCCUUUCUAAAUAACAGAGAUUUUUCAUUUCAAUUUCUUCCAGUCAUUAGCAGCAUAAUGAAGGUUCUGUGCAGGAAUUUCAGAUCUUCCUUGGGCUCCCCUGGAAUAGCUGCGUUUUACUCAUCCUGCUGAAGAAGAGGGUGGAAGCUCUGUGCUUGGUUUGUUUCCCUAUAUGGAAAUUUAGGUCACUCAUACUGUGAUUCCCAGGAAUGCCACUAUUCUUCUUUCCCCUCCAAGUGCUGCCACAGCAUUCUGCCUCUCCCCACUUUAAUCUGAGAUACUCACGCGGCUUUUUGGUGGUGGCAUUGACAGUGGCACUGAAGGGCCCUGCUCCAGCGCUGUUGUAAGCACGGACAGCUGUGUAAUAAGCCAAGUUGCUCCUCAAGCCUGUGAUUUUUAUUGAUGUUUCAUUCCCUGCAGCUUUUACCCUGCUUGAAGAUUCUUCUUUCUGGCCAUUAUUCCAGUACCUAACCUAGGAGAUAAAAACCAAACCCAUUUAAAUCUUGCAUGGAACGGGCUGGGCUGCUCACCCACAGCGUUGUACUCAGACUCUUUUAAGUGGGUUUUUUUUUUCCCUUCAGCUGAAAAAGGUAGAAAUACAUUAAAGUUUCAGAAAUAUGUUUACUGUGCAAAAGUAAAAUAUUCCUAUCCAGCUGCUUCUCACACUUGCUGCUCUUUUUAGUGAAAAAGGCAAUUGAAAUAUUAGAUCUUGCUUGAACCAAAGAAGGACAAGAGGAAAAGCAUUAGUUCAUUAAAAAGGAAGCAAGUAAAGCUCAGAAAAAUGUACCUUAUAAAAAAGUUUCUUUGAAAGUGAAUGUAAUUCUGAAAAAAGUCAGUUUGGAGUUAUGUCAGACACAUGGCUAUCUAUCAGCACAAGAAGCAAAACACAACUUCAUUCUGUGGGGUUUUUUUCCCAAGACAGAAAGAAUUAGCCGCCUUCUGGGUGUAGGUGGGGCAGGAAGAGCAAGAUUUGGGGUCAGUCUGUGUGGUUGUCCUGCAGCCUGCACGACGCUUCUGGCCCAUGGCCCUUUGCAAAAAGGAGUGGAUUUUACUGAAUAAAUAGGGUUUGUUAGUUAAAAUAUUUUGAUUUCAAUAGACUCACCUCAUAGCCCAGCAGCCUUCCAUUGCUCAUCUUCCAGGGAAUGGCUCUCCAGGAGACCUCGAUGGCCGAGGAGGACAGGCUGGUGGCAGACACUCCCGAGGGGGCUGUGCUGGGCUCUGCGUUGGGAAACCAACAACAAGGGAGAGGUGACUGUGGAACAAACCUGUCCUUAUCCAAACCAAGCUCAUCUCCCCCAGCUGCUGCUGGAUCCCCUGCUGGAACAGCUCAUGCAAGUGCUUGGGGAAACUGAAGGCUGUACCUUCCUCAGCCGAGAACACCGUGGUGACUGCGCUGAAGGGCCCCUCGCCUUUGUUGUUGUAGACCCCGACUUUGACCUCGUAGGGCGAGAAGGGCAGGAUGCUCUCGUUCCUGAAGACGUAUUUGGGGAUGUCAGGAGAGGUGACCACGGUCUGGAUCCACGUCGUGGUGCCCGAGGGGCGGAAGGCGACCACAUACCCGAAUCCUUCCCCGUUCUGCAGCUCCUCGGGGAUGGGCUGGACAGAAGAACACAGAUCUGUGAUGCCAUGGGGAUAUGUGGCAGGAGGGAAGUGCCAGCAGACUCGUGGACAUGCUGCAGGUGCUGGCACUGCACUUGGCAGCAUCCCCUCAGCCAAUUAACUCUGCUACAGCACAGCAAAACGCGCUCCCUUCGACCCACUUUAAGGUUUGCAUUCCAAGAAGAGAACAACUUUCAGGUAGCAUUUUUGUUUUCCACUAAGUAUUCUGCUUUAAGACACUCUUCAGUAAAUAUAACUUUUCUUUCAUCAAUCCACAGUUCAUAAAAAAUGAAUAGUUGCUCAGUCAGCUAUUAGAGAAUCCAAUACCACCUUCAUACAGCAGCUUAAACCUUCCUCUGAUGUGAUCAUGAUUAGAUAACCACACAGAGCAGUCAAUGCUAGGAACAGAGUAUUAACAGCUCUUCAAAUCAUUAAAAAAGGGAUACAUAAUACAAAGCAGUGUGAGAUUGUAUUGGUUAGCACAUGCAUCCAAGGGUAAUGGUGGGAAAGCAAGAACUGCAAAUCUGCACUGCAAAGCCCCAUUUCUCACCUUAACCAUCCCUCUUCCUCUUCCCCUGCCCCCCUGCCUCCUUUUUAGCAUCAACAUUUGUUUGAGAACAGAAGCAAUCCCAGCCAAACUAAAUUCCCUGGGGAUUUCCAUCCAGCACAGGGACGUGUAGCAGUGAAAGAACAAAGGCCAAUGUCCAGGGCUCACACCACACGCGGCACAGAGCACACGGACAUCCCAGAGGAGAAGCUGCUGCCGCCAGGGAAAUUCAGAGAGAGCAGAAAGAAAAGAAAGAAAAAAGUUCUGUGAAGGAAAGUGCUUGCCAGCAAACUUACAUCCCACGUUAUCACCAGCUCAGAUCUGCUGCCUCCUCCCCCACUGACCUCAGAUGGGGGAAUUUCGGGAACUGUGGAAAGGAAAUGCAGAGACGUCUGCACAGAGAAUACAUCGCAUCACAAGAGAACACAUCACAUCAGCCUCAAGCCCUGAAUUUAACCCAUAUUCAUACUCCCUUUGCAACCAGAGAAAAUGUUUUUGGGGUAGGAGGGGCAGUCCUGGAAAGCCCCAGCCCUGUCCCACAUUCAUCUUUGCCUGGGCCAGGCCAGGGUUCCUCUGAGCACCUGGAGAACUUCAGCAGCUCACAGAUUACACCAGGUAUGCUGUGUUUAAGAACUUCUCAAAACUGGAGACAAGCUUCAUUUUUUAAUUAAUAGAGUUAACUCAGAGAAUGGCCUGGGUUGGAAGGGACCUUAAAGAUCACCUUGUUCCAGGACACUUUCCACUGACCAGGCUGCUCAGAAUUCCAUGUCCUUGAACACUUCCAGGGAUGUUAUGCAGAUGAAUUGGGAAAUGGCCUCAUUCCAAGUGAACUGGGGUUUUAAUUGAUGGGUUCUUCUGAGCCACGUGCUUGUAACACGGAAGGGUUUCACUGAUCAAACACCAGCAAUGAAAAUCCCCUGUCAAAAUUAACCUCUUUCCAUCCAUUUAUACCUUCAGACUCUGCAGCACUGCCUGAACUGGCAGAUUUUGGCACAGUGCACAGAGUUUAAAUGGAUUUAGAUGUUAUGCUUCUGUGAUGUUCAGUAAUGCAACACAAACUGUCUCACAGCUAAAUGGAAAAAUACGAACAAACUUGUUACAGGCUUUUAUAUCCAAUGGCAACUCCAAGCUUGUUUGCAAAGAGCCAAAGAUAACACUCCUUUUCUUUGUUAAUAUUCAAGAUUCUUGAAUUAAAAACAAAUAGAAGGACCCACUAACCUGCCUCUUCAGUUCUUACUUUUUCUGAGGGCAAACUAGGUUCUCCACCUCCUAUUUUGUUACUGGCAACUACACGAAAUUCAUAUUCAACCCAAGGAUUUAAAUCCACUACUGUGCUUGUGAAGGUUUUCCCGUCGAUGACAUCCGGAACUACGAAGAAGAGAAAGGGAAAAGGAAAGUCAGGCACAGGGUGCCAGGGAUGUUCCCACAGAGCCUGGGACGGGAAUUGUGCUCACCUGUGGUGGCUCGCUGCCAGCCCACGGAGAAGGGAGUCCUUGCCUGGAUGGUGUAGGUGGUCACAGGGCUGUGGUUGUCUGUGCCCUCCUGCCAGGAGAUCUGAGCUGUGGUGUCCGUGAUCUCCUCCACCUUCACGUGCUCGGGGGGCCCAGGAGAGCCUGGAAUCGGAUGGAAAACCAGGCAGUGUUUGGUGAAGCCCUGAAGCACCCUGGGAAUCACUACCAGCAGGAUGGAUUCCUGUUUUCCUUCCUCAGGGAGGAGGAAAACAAUUCAGACUGGAAUAAGAACACUUUUAAUUACUGUUUUACAUUCACUAAACUUAACUCUGACUAUUUCAACCUGAAAUACUCUCAAGGGCAGAACAGAUGACUGGGUUUUGGUUUUUUUUACCAAGAACCUUUGUUCAGCACAUCUCUCUCUCUUUCCAAUGUCUUUUCCUUUAGUCCUAAAUGUCCUCUUUAAUCUACAGAUACAUCUCUGUAGUCUGUCAACUUUUUAUCUACAACUUCUUUACCGUACAAUGCACUGGAACAAUUUUUCAGCACAUCUGACCAGAACCCCGUGCAGCAAUUCAGUCACACAAACUUCCUGCUGCCUUCUGGAAAAUCCUCAUUUCUGGCCAUUUCCUGGCCAGAAUGUUGGGUUUUGUCUCAUCUGCACCAGCAAAGGGGCUUGAAAUGAGUAACAGUGCAUUAACAAUGAGAAAAUAUCUGACAUAUUUUAAAAUAUAUUGAGUAACUGCUGAUCACAUAAUGUGCUUUCCUAGAUCAAAGCUUUUACCUUGCAAUGACCAUAGCUGUAACAUCAGCAAAGAAAGCCACAAUUCUGGCUCAACUGUGAACAUUCCAGCUUGGAAUGAAAAGGAAUAAUUCUGCACUAUAGGAUUUAAACCUUAGGACAAAGCCUCUCCUGGCCUCUGGCAGAACUGCCAUUUCCCAGGAAGGAUUCUGGAGUUCCCAACACUUCAGUCUGCAGAGGCAGCAACUGCCUCAGAGCUGCCAGUGAGUUCCCUCCUGUCAGUGACCUCAAGGACUGGCAGUGAAAAAAGAUGUGAAGUCACUAUUAUAACCUCCAGCUCUUCAUUCCUCUGGGAAAAUCAGGCUUCACCCAAAGCCUGAGCUGUAAUUCUCCCUAGCUGCAGGUCAGAAUGACAUAAUUCAACUCACAGUCAUUCAUCACACCAUUCAAGCCAUGGACUGGUUCUGUAACCUCCAACAUCAGUUGUUUCUACAGCCUACAAUAUAAAAAAGGUGGAAAACAUGACCCUGGAGCUGGGCUGGGAUGUACCUCGCACGAUGAGGUCAGCAGCAGAGGCCACACUGUCCACCUCUGUCUUCACCAUGCACACGUACUUCCCACUGUGCUUCAGCUGGAUGUUCCUGAUCAUUAAAUCACCUGAUGCACUCUGUGGGAAUACAGAACAUUCAUUAAUGCAAAUGCACCACCCUUGCAGUCUAACAUUUUCUUUGCAAAGGGAAAAGAAAUCCACCAAAAGUGUGAAGUUGCUCAAAAGCUGCAUUGCAGUGACCAGGACAGCAAAUUAUUGCCCAUCAACUGCUCCAGGUUUGUUGUCUGGGAGCAUUUUCCCAAAAAACAUGAGGUAGUGUCCCUUUUUUGGGAGAAGUGAGCUCCAACACGGCGAGCUCACACUGGGAACACAUCUCCUGCCCAGAAUCCCCAAUGACCUCAGGCUCCUGUGACCAUUUGUCUCAAAGCCCUAAAAAGAGAGAAAUGUGCUUUCUGUGGCCAUUACCCAUUUGAUUUCAAGACAGAAUUCAUGGGGUUUUUAUCUGGAAUUUUUAAGUCAGGUUAUGACAGGUUUUUAAGGAGUUGGAAUAUGUAGAAAGACAAAGUUGAAUUCAGUCUAUUUUACAGGUUAUUGUGAGCACACUUUCCUUUAAAGGUUGCACAGUUCAGGCUGUAUUUCCCAUUUUACAAGCCUAAAUUCUGUUCUUUGCUUUUCAUUGAGUAUUUAAUCUUUAGUACUUUUUCCCCCAUUGUUCUCUCUCAGAUCACAGCAUGUGGUUAUUUCCUGGAUCAUGGGAAACAGAAAUAAAACUUGAAUGAAACUGUAACUUCAUAUGAU